CUGCCCGUAGCUCAACUGGAUAGAGCAACAGCCUUCUAAGCUGUAGGUCGGGGGUUCAAGUCCCUCCGGGCAGGCCA
rnacentral:tRNA from 3 species